CAGCAGCCACGGUAAUACGAAGGGGGCUAGCGUUACUCGGAAUUACUGGGCGUAAAGGGCGCGUAGGCGGCACGAUUAGUCAGGCGUGAAAUUCCUGGGCUCAACCUGGGGACUGCGCUUGAUACGGUCGAGCUAGAGGAUGGAAGAGGGUCGUGGAAUUCCCAGUGCAGAGGUGAAAUUCGUAGAUAUUGGGAAGAACACCGGUGGCGAAGGCGGCAACCUGGUCCAUUACUGACGCUGAGGCGCGACAGCGUGGGGAGCAAACAGGAUUAGAUACCCCAGUAGUCCCUGUCUCUUAUAC
rnacentral:rRNA from 1 species